GACGGAGGGCGCAAGCGUUGUUCGGAAUUACUGGGCGUAAAGCGCACGCAGGCGGUCUGCUAAGUCCUUUGUGAAAGCCCGGGGCUCAACCCCGGAAUUGCAUCGGAUACUGGCAGACUGGAGACUGGUAGAGGCUAGCGGAAUUCCUGGUGUAGCGGUGGAAUGCGUAGAUAUCAGGAAGAACACCUGUGGCGAAGGCGGCUAGCUGGGCCAGUUCUGACGCUCAUGUGCGAAAGCGUGGGGAGCAAACAGG
rnacentral:rRNA from 1 species